UGUAAGUGUGCUCUGGACACGCCCUAGAAGAGAAGGGUGGCCGUAAUACCUUGAGUGUGCUAGACAAGCCCUUAUGCACAGAGGCAAUGUCACCUUAUCUAGGGCAUCUUGUUCGCACAUUCACAGGGUACAGAAUGCGAACACACUCACUCACGCAGCACGGUCUGCCCACAUGAACUUGCGUAGUACGACAUGCUUGUGCAUUGAGCAGCAUGACAUGUCUGUGCGCGCCAUGAUGAGGUGGGCAUCUCUUCUUCCCUCUCUCGCGUAACACAGUGUACCCUUAUGGAUGUUCACCUGCACCUGGGCACUUGGUUGAGCAGACACUCACGCUUGUUAUGCUUUGGCAAGGACUGGCUUCCACACUGAAGGCAUGUUAAGGCAGUCCCUCGCACAUGCAUGUGCAAGUCUUAUAUGGGCUCCCUCAGCAUGCAGGUGUGCCUGGCAAAGCUCGCAUACGAGUGCACUGCUAUGUGCGCGCAUUACAUGCCCUAUGGCAAUAUCCCAACACAUGUACAUGCUUGGACAAUGUCCCUCGCAUGUUUGGCAUGCCGUGGUGCCCCUACUGCAACCUGUCUACAACAUGCCAGUGCCUCCCUCUUUUUUCUGACUUUUUUCAAUCAAUCACACAUUAUUAU
rnacentral:lncRNA from 1 species